GGACCUAGUGGACGACCUGGUCUUCCGGGAGACAAAGGUGGCCUUGGGAUUCCAGGACGUAUGGGAUUGAAGGGUCAGCCUGGAGAGAAGGGAGCUCCAGGAGAACCUGGCAUGUCAGUUAUAGGACCUCGUGGCCCUCCUGGACAACCUGGAACACGAGGGUUUCCGGGCUUUCCUGGACCAAUAGGAUUAGACGGCAAGUCAGGCCACCCUGGUCAGAAAGGAGAGAAAGGGGAAAUGGGUCCGCCUGGUCCCAAAGGGCAACCUGUAA